GGCAAGAAGCUUGUAAAACCACCUGAAGACGUUUGGCCAGUGCUAACUUAACUCGAGAUGGAGACGAUAUUUUGGAUGACAAUGUGGAUGUCAUCCUUGAGAAACCUCAAGACAAGAAGACUAAGAAAGAAAAUGAAAGAAAGAGGAAGUCUAAAGAUGAUAUAGAUGCUGAAUUUAACCAUGCCUUAGUUCGCAUGAAUGCUGAUAGAAAUACACUCAUGGUGGAGAGAAAAGAAUUUUACAGUAAGGCAGAGCGGGAUAGAGAUGAGCAUCUUGCACUUGA